rnacentral:rRNA from 1 species
CCUACGGGAGGCAGCAGUGGGGAAUAUUGCACAAUGGGCGCAAGCCUGAUGCAGCCAUGCCGCGUGUGUGAAGAAGGCCUUCGGGUUGUAAAGCACUUUCAGCGAGGAGGAAGGCGUUAAGGUUAAUUACCUUAGCGAUUGAGGUUACUCGCAGAAGAAGCACCGGCUAACUCCGUGCCAGCAGGCGCGGUAAUCCGGAGGGUGCAAGCGUUAAUCGGAAUUA